AGAUGUUGUCUCAAAUUAAAAAAAAAAAAAUGUGGCUAUAGAAAACAAGGUUGGAGGAGGGGAAGGGACAGGACUGGGGACUCAGUAGGGAGAAGGCACUGGUCUAAAGACUUCCUUUCUCUUGCCACAAAGCAAUGCAUGAGCCAGAAGGAACAGGAGGCUUUAACAGGCCAAGUGACUCUGCCCCCAUCUCCUCUGGGCACUCAGGGAGGGCUGGUGGUGAACAUGAUGGAAGACUGAAGUUAUCAUAGAACCUAUGCACAGGCCUUGUGAUAGUACCACCAGAGCUCUCGUGACCUAGAAACAUGGCAGCCACACUUCUGUCAUCUUUCUUGCUCCUUGGGGAUUCUCUGCUGCAAACGGGCAGGGCACUGGUUUUCAGGAAUAAAAAGAGGCCGCUUUCCAACACCAAGAAUCCAUUUGGUAAGGACUGAGCUGCUAUGCACUAGGCAAAAGGAACCAACCUCCUGGAUGGGUGGCUGGGGUGGUGGCUUGGGCUGGUGACCGUCCUAGGACAACGGUCCUUCUUUUCAUUGAUAAAGGAAGUUCAGCAAGAGCUUAAGGAUCUUAAGAUACCAUUCAAAGAGCUUUUCACUUCCUUGGAAAACUUGAAUAUGGCUGUAUUUGUUUUGUAUUCAGCCCAAGAAAGGUAAUGGAAGGAGCCUCAUAAAACAAGAGCUGGUCUUGAACAAAAAAAAUACUGCACAUUAAAAAGAAGAAUUAGCUAAUUCUUCGCCCCCAUUUCUUUGUAAAAGGACCUCAAAAUGAUCAGUCCCAAAGGCCAGGACUCUUUCAGAGGCACGCCCCAGGACCCAGGGGUAGAGUCCGGGGGGGAAGGCAUGGAAACCAGGCCUCAUGGCUGGUGUGCUCACGACUGUCCUCCCCACGACUCAUGCUCCAAUGCUGCCUGCGUCACCCAGAGAAAUGUGUUUGGGACGAUCACCCCCAAAGCCCCGCUGACGGCCACAGCAGGGGUGCUCACACUGCAGGGGUGCUCACACUGCAGGGGUGCUCACACUCCAGGGUCAUCAGAGUGAUCUGAUGAGCUUUUACACGAUGCAGGUUCCUAGGCCCCACUCCCAGGCAUUCCCAUUCUGUGGUUUGGGGUGGAGCCUGUGAGUCUGCACUUUGACAGGAGGUGCAGGUGCAGCUAGGGCAGGGUCCACAUGGUGAGAGACCCUGGCAGCUGCUGGGUGGCAGACUCAGAUACCAGGGACUCAGCCAGGCAGGGGACAGUGAGAUCAAAUGUUCACCCUGCCCUGGACGGGAGGUGGGAGCAGACUGGCCCCUGGUCACUUCAGGGAGGCAGUAGGAGGUGGCCAGCUGCUCCCUGGGGAUGGACAGCCCUGCUACAAGGGUCUGGGGGCUGCCUUCAGAGUCCCCUGGGCUGGCAAAGCCACCAAGUCCUCUGGGAGCUCCCGCCUGAAACUCUGAAGUGUCCGACAGAUCUUGCCUCUGCCCCACCUUCCUGGGUGACUUUGUGUUGAGCUCUCUGGUGGCCCGGUCUCUCCUUGGGCCUCUUGUUUGCCCGGAGAGACUGCCCCAUCCGUGCCACAGGGGCCAGCACAUUGGUGGGGCUGUGAAGGUCUCGAAACCCUGUGAACGCUUCAGGGACACGCCGGGUCCCUGGGCCAGCCUCCCUCCCCGCUACAGACUCAGCGGUGCUCCGUUAGGAUGAGCGCGUGGACUCACCUCCCGAUGCUCCCACGGGCCCUGAGGCUUUGGGACACUCGGGGUUUCCUGACGAAUCUUUACGAUCCUAUGCUUCUGUUAAAAAUAGAACAAAAAUCCCCCAAUGCAAGCCUCUUGAAAACAACUGGCUUUAGCAGUCAGGACCCGCUUAGGAGGAAAGAGGCCCAUCGCCCCCCAGGCUGUAAAUAUCUGGAUCUGCGCACCAGCCGCUUCCUGGAGGAAGAACAGACAGAGGUGGGUGCAACGCUGGCUCGGUGUGCCCCUCGAGGAGAAGGGCUCAGCCCAGACGACUCCGAGGGCCCCAGGAGAGGACAUUCUGGCUGGGAGGGAGAAGUCCCACAUGUGUCUGGAACAUUUAAUUCAGAUCAUUCCAAGCCGACAGAAGGGUGAUACCAAUGUGAGGAAACGGCUCCAGGGAUAGAUGUGGGUAAAUACAAGCAAUCCUUUAAAGGUGAAGUGUGAAUCACUUUCUACAUUUAAUAAAGACAUUUUCUCAUUUGAGGCUCUGGAAGUUGUGAGUCACAUUUUUUUUUUUUUGUAAACCCCUCCCCGCUAAAAUGCCUUGGAACACAUGGGUUAACAGUGGCUGCACAGAAAA